UGCGUAGGUGGCGGGGUAAGUCGGAUGUGAAAGCUCGGAGCUCAACUCCGAAAUGGCAUUGGAAACUACCUUGCUCGAGGGUUGGAGGGGGGACUGGAAUUCUCGGUGUAGCAGUGAAAUGCGUAGAUAUCGAGAGGAACACCAGUGGCGAAGGCGAGUCCCUGGACAACUCCUGACACUGAGGCACGAAAGCUAGGGAGCAAACA
rnacentral:rRNA from 1 species